AACUGAAGAAAGGCGUGUUGUUUACUGUUGUUACCGCGUGUUCGAAAAAAAAGAAAGUGGGCAGCAGAUCCCUUUCGAAACGCUUUCUAUUCGAUCUGAGAAUUGCGAAAACAACUCCAAAUUCCUCAAAUUCCUCAAAUUCUGGUAAGCUCACUUUUCUUUUCACUCACUCCGGUCUUCUAAAUCUAACCCCUUUUUUCUUUCUUUCUAUUUAUUUUCUGUUUGAAGAAUAAAAGGGUUCCUUUUGAUUACGAUCUUUUGUUCGGAAUAGUGUUGCUUAUUGAUUUAGUUUAGUCCAAAUCUUAUUCUUUGUGUCAAGAGAAGGUGUUAAUCAGUCUGGCUAAUGGGAAAAAAAAUCACAUUAAAAGGGGCUGCGGAUAGUUAGCUGAUAUAGAUAUGGUAAAAUUUCAUGGUAAUUUAAAAUGUUUGAUGCAUCAUGCAUGGAGGUUUAAAUUGCAUGGUUUAUUAUGGCAAAUUUUACCAUUUUCACUUUCUGGGUUUGAUCGUACUAUAUGUUAUGGACUGUUAUAAUCUGUUGUCGAGUGGUGGUGGAAUUUGAGAACUCUACGAACAGGCUUAACCAUAAACAAGAUCAUGCGGCAAGUAUAUAACUGUAAACAAGAACAUGUGACAAGUAUAUAAAACCACUGGCAGGAUUUGUAGACUCUAUUGCUGCUGUCUAGAUAUGAAGAUGAGUAUGCAGUGAAGUUUUCACUAAUUGAAGGCUAUUAACCCUUGCUUCGGUUGGGGCAAUUUUGUUUUUGAAGCAGAAUGGUUAUUCAUAUUUCUACAAGGAAUUGUGCAUAAUAAAUCACGCCAGGAGGCAAAGGGUAUUGAUAAACCUGCAAGUACUUGUAUUUGUCUCUAGGAAAGAUGCAGAAUCAGGAGGGGGUGGUAGCUGAUGGAGAAAAGGAGUCCGCUGUAUCCAUUCCUGUAUCUGAAUUUGAUGAUUGGGCAAAAUUUGCAGAUGAUGAUAUCAUGCAGCAACAAUCUGCCUUUCAUGCUGAGGAAGCCAAGAAAGUUCCAUUUGUAGGUGACAAGGUGAGAGCAACAUGAUUCUUUGAGAUUAAUAGACAUGGUUGCAUUUGCCUUAAAUAUUGGGUGAUUUUUUGUUUUGAACGCUCAGUGUGCUAUUCUGCA
rnacentral:lncRNA from 1 species